rnacentral:lncRNA from 1 species
GCCCGCCGGGCGCCGAGCGCAUCGCCCCGCUCUCGCACUCACUCUCGUGCGCAGGCCCCGCAGCCGCCGCGAUCGGAGGCGGUGCUCGGCCAGGAGCCCGGCAGGGGCCGGAGAAGGAGAGGACUUGGGUGAAAAGCUGCCGCCGCACCUGAGACUCCACUGCUGCCACCGCCGCUGCUGUUACCGUGGGGACCUGCCUGAGACCAGGCCAGGGACAGAGCUUCACUGGUCAGAGGGGCUCCUUCCACCUGCAGAGAUCUGGAACCAGGUGACAGACGCGCCUCUUCCUUCCUGUCCCCAUCUUUCGUGCUCCCCUCUCAGAGUCCCAGUCUCCAGCCUCCUGUGGGAGUCGUCUGAAAUUCUGAGCCCCGAGCCCCAGGAGGAAGAGGAAGAGGCAGAGGAAGUCAAGCCCCGAGAACCUGGGCAUCUUCCUGGCAGGAAAAGAACACCUCGGGGAAGCAGGCUGUGGGGCCUGCAGCCCCCCUGGCCUUGGUCUGGCUCUGGUGCCCGGCGACUGUGGGUAGCACCCCAGAAGGCCCCCUGACAGUUGGCACUGGCCGUGCCCACCUCACCUGGGGCCCCCGAGCUGGGGGUCCCCCAAAAGAUGGUGGCAGCCCCAGGGAGGACUGUGCUGCUGGCCCCAACCUCUGGCCACUAGGUCCCCCGGCGCCCCGGCCCCCCACCCUGAGCCAGGCCUGAG